rnacentral:lncRNA from 1 species
UUUUUUCAGACAGAUUAGUUUUCAUUAUAAUUAUUAAUAAAAUAUUAUUUUUUUUAAAAUAAGUUCAAGUUUUAACAUACGUUUUUUUUUAAGAGUAAGAAUAUAGUGUUUUUGAUGCCCCAUUUAUUGGCGAUAUGUUUUCUGGUCUGUGCGUUAUACCAAUGCCGUCUGUUCUUUCGUUUAUACGGCAUAAAUGAUUAAAAUAAAAAAAAGGCUAAAAACAGGAAUUUAAAAUUUGGAAAUGAAAAACCAACAUUGAAUAAGGUCAAUUGUUAGUACAUUGAACUAACUAGAAAAAUUAUGACAGGUUUUAUUCUGACUGUGAAAUAACUGACUAGGAGAAUUAUGACAGUUUUAUUCUGACUGUGAAAUAACUAACUAGGAGAAUUAUGACAGUUUUAUUCUGACUGUGAAAUAACUAACUAGGAGAAUUAUGACAGUUUUAUUCUGACUGUGAAAUAACUAACUAGGAGAGUUAUGACAGUUUUAUUCUGACUGUGUAAUAACUAACUAGGAGAAUUAUGACAGAAGUUUUAUUCUGACUGUGUAAUUGCUUAAUAAUGUAGUCCAAUUAAUGUGUGCUAUAAUUUAUUUAUAUGUUAAACUAUGCAUUGAAAUAAACCAAUGGUAUUAGAUCUUCUUGUUUACUUUGAU